rnacentral:rRNA from 1 species
CCUACGGGUGGCAGCAGUGGGGAAUAUUGCACAAUGGGGGAAACCCUGAUGCAGCGACGCCGCGUGAAGGAAGAAGUAUUUCUGUAUGUAAACUUCUAUCAGUAGGGAAGAAAAUGACGGUACCUGACUAAUAAGCCCCGUCUAACUACGUGCCAGCAGCCGCGGUAAUACGGAGGGGGCAAGCGUUAUCCGGAUUUACUGGGUGUAAAGGGAGCGUAUGCGGGGAUGCAAGUCAGAAGGGAAAGCCCGGGGCUCAACUCCGGGACUGCUUUUGAAACUGUAUGGCUAGAUUGCAGGAGAGGCAAGUGGAAUUCCUAGUGUAGCGGUGAAAUGCGUAGAUAUUAGGAGGAACACCAGUGGCGAAGGCGGCUUGCUGGACUGUAAAUGACGCUGAGGCUCGAAAGCGUGGGGAGCAAACAGGAUUAGAUACCCGAGUAGUC